GCGGAGGGAUCAUUACUGAGUGAGGGCCCUCGGGCUCGACCUCCAACCCUUUGUGAACACAAUUCGUUGCUUCGGGGGCGACCCUGCCGAUCCGUCGGCGAGCGCCCCCGGAGGCCUUCCAACCCUGCAUCUUUGCGUCGGAGUUUAAGUAAAUUUAAACAAAACUUUCAACAACGGAUCUCUUGGUUCUGGCAUCGAUGAAGAACGCAGCGAAAUGCGAUAAGUAAUGUGAAUUGCAGAAUUCAGUGAAUCAUCGAAUCUUUGAACGCACAUUGCGCCCUUUGGUAUUCCGAAGGGCAUGCCUGUUCGAGCGUCAUUUCACCACUCAAGCCUGGCUUGGUAUUGGGCGCCGCGGUGUCGUCCGCGCGCCUCAAAGUCUCCGGCUGAGCUGUCCGUCUCUAAGCGUUGUGAUACAUUAUUCGCUUCGGAGUGCGGGUGGCCGCGGCCGUUAAAUCUUUCACAAGGUUGACCUCGGAUCAGGUAGGGAUACCCGCUG
rnacentral:rRNA from 1 species